rnacentral:rRNA from 1 species
UACAGAGGUCUCAAGCGUUGUUCGGAUUCAUUGGGCGUAAAGGGUGCGUAGGCGGCGCGGUAAGUCGGGUGUGAAAUCUUGGAGCUUAACUCCGAAACUGCAUUCGAUACUGCCGUGCUUGAGGCCAGUAGGGGGAUGCGGAAUUCCGGGUGUAGUGGUGGAAUGCGUAGAGAUCCGGAGGAACACCAGCGGCGAAGGCGGCAUCCUGGACUGGUACUGACGCUCAUGAGCGAAAGCGUGGGGAGCGAUCCGG